rnacentral:rRNA from 1 species
AUGAGGUUUCCCACUGGCAACAGGUAAGAUCCCAUGGAGACUACGUGGUAGAUAGGCCGGGGGUGUAAGCACAGCAAUGUGUUGAGCCGACCGGUACUAAUAGAUCGAGGUCUUGACCU